GCUGUCGUCAGCUCGUGUUGUGAAAUGUUGGGUUAAGUCCCGCAACGAGCGCAACCCUUAUCCUUUGUUGCCAGCGGUUCGGCCGGGAACUCAAAGGAGACUGCCAGUGAUAAACUGGAGGAAGGUGGGGAUGACGUCAAGUCAUCAUGGCCCUUACGGCCAGGGCUACACACGUGCUACAAUGGCAUAUACAAAGAGAAGCGACCUCGCGAGAGCAAGCGGACCUCAUAAAGUAUGUCGUAGUCCGGAUUGGAGUCUGCAACUCGACUCCAUGAAGUCGGAAUCGCUAGUAAUCGUAGAUCAGAAUGCUACGGUGAAUACGUUCCCGGGCCUUGUACAC
rnacentral:rRNA from 1 species